AAGUUUUACUUAAAACAUGAAAUGCGCAAGUAGCACAGACAAAAUUAUGAAAAUUGAUAACUGAAGAAAAUAUAGCACACAACUGAAUAACUAAAUCACGGAAAUUAUCAUAAAUGUGGCUUUGCAAGCAUGGAGGCCUCAACCUCGGCAAUACCUCAUUUCAUGCUUGUAGGUUUCGCCCUAGCCUCAAUAAUCUUAAGUAACCUUCAACAUUAGGAGGUCUCAUCCUCGAUAUAGUUGUGGCUCUGCAAGCAUAGAGGCCUCAAACUCUACAAUAGUACAUAUCAUACUUGGGGAUCUUGCCUUGACCAGAAUAAAAACAUUACAAUUACAUUCAGGGGCGAAUUUAUAUGUAAAGAAUGGGAUGG
rnacentral:lncRNA from 1 species